AAUGAACGCUGGCGGCGCGCCUAAUACAUGCAAGUCGAGCGAGAAGACGUAGCAAUACGUUUGUAAAGCGGCGAACGGGUGAGGAAUACAUGGGUAACCUACCCUAGAGUGGGGAAUAACUAGCCGAAAGGUUAGCUAAUACCGCGUACGCUCCUUGGACUUCGGUUCAGGGAGGAAAGCGAUGCCGAGGGUAUCGCGCUCUUGGAUGGGCUCAUGUCCUAUCAGCUUGNGGUGAGGUAACGGCUCACCAAGGCUUCGACGGGUAGCUGGUCUGAGAGGACGAUCAGCCACACUGGCACUGCGACACGGGCCAGACUCCUACGGGAGGCAGCAGUAAGGAAU
rnacentral:rRNA from 1 species